GUGGGGAAUAUUGGACAAUGGGCGCGAGCCUGAUCCAGCCAUGCCGCGUGAGUGAUGAAGGCCUUAGGGUUGUAAAGCUCUUUUGUCCGGGAAGAUAAUGACUGUACCGGAAGAAUAAGCCCCGGCUAACUUCGUGCCAGCAGCCGCGGUAAUACGAAGGGGGCUAGCGUUGUUCGGAAUCACUGGGCGUAAAGCGCACGUAGGCGGACCAUUAAGUCAGGGGUGAAAGCCUGGAGCUCAACGCCAGAGCUGCCUUUGAUACUGAUGGUCUCGAGUAUGGAAGAGGUUGGUGGAACUGCGAGUGUAGAGGUGAAAUUCGUAGAUAUUCGCAAGAACACCGGUGGCGAAGGCGGCCAACUGGUCCAUUACUGACGCUGAGGUGCGACAGCGUGGGGAGCAAACAGGAUUAGAAACCCUGGUAGUCC
rnacentral:rRNA from 1 species